rnacentral:miRNA from 1 species
UUUAGUUCUAAUAUGAAUAU